AUCGCUUCUUGGCCUUUUGACUAAGAUCAAGUGUAGUAUCUGUUAUCAACUUGCACUGUUAACUCCUA
rnacentral:snRNA from 1 species